GUUAAUAGUAUUGUUUAGUGACCAUUGAAUUUGUGGUAAGCAUAAAUCCCAUUCAUUUUCAGGUUUACCGUGAUUAGCAGCAGUUAUGGCAUCGACUAUAGUCCGGUUGUACCUUUCAACCUGGCCAUUUGCCCUGGGAGAGGCAACAGCAUUCAAAAUAUGCUUGAUACCUCUACCAUUAAUAAAGUUUGAAAACUCUUUGCUAGUGAAACUUGUACCACGAUCUGAUAUUAUACGGCGUGGUACUCCAAACAGCGAGAAAUAUUCUGAAAUGGACCGCAAUGGUCAGUGUGGAGCGUAUCAAAUGGUUUGCUAAUUUUAGGUAUAGGAUGGAGCUCCCCUUCUUUAGCACCGGCCGGUAGUUUGUUAUGUGCGCAGCUUAAGCAAGAAUUGCAAUACUUUUUAAUAAAUCGUCGCAUUUUCUUAAACCAAUAAAUUUGAUUAACUCUA